UAUAUGCUUUGUGGUCUUUAAGAGGGUGAAGUCAUCUUGCAUUUCAUAUGUCUGACAGAAUGUGUAAAAUGAGCAAUUUUUCUUGUUCAGAUCAUUCAAAUAGGCCAUAAUUUUAUAGGAGAAGUGACUGACUGAAUACUUCUCUUUUUCUUCAUGUUUCUGCUGAAUUUAAGAUGAACAUCAAGAAGCAUGCCCCAUUCGAAGAAUGCUUGGAAUCUGGAAACAGGAUAACAUGCCUGGUCAAUUGUUCUCUUCCUUCUUUCUACAGGUAAUAAAUCAAUAGUAUUUAUAUAGUAUUUAACUGAAAUGAACUCGGUCAGAUUUGAUCCCCAUCAACAUCUCCAUUAUGUUGUCAUUUUCUAUCACUUUUUAUUUUUUUAAUGAAUGGAUUGACAAGAGGCUGGUUAGCAAAGUCGGAAAAGAAAGUAUGCGCUCUCUCUCUUUGCACAAGCUCCAUUAUUGAGCAUAAGCAUAAUGUUUUUUGUUUCAGCUGGCUACCAUAGGUGUAGCUAUAGAUGAGAACCUAGUUAAUUGAUGUGGUUCUUUGAUGGAUUCUGUAUGGUUCAACUUUGUAUUUGGAUUGACUUGUGUGGCAGGUUUGGGCAUCUUCUAGGUGUUAAUCUCCAAAGCAUUGAGUGAUCCAUCAGGACGCUCCCAUGAGAAGGGAGAAGGUUGCAGCUGAUGUUCUGGGAAAAGAGUUGCUGAAUUGAAGAUAGAGUUUUGGAGUGAAAAGUUGCUUCCUAUAGGAGGUUCAAGUUUUGAAAACCCUGCAGCAGAAUGAAAAUGUAUUUGCUUCCAAUUUUGUUCCUUUGUGGAUGAAGCCAUUUUACUCAGAUUCUUCACUUGUGGGUAGUGUUGUUGAAAGUCUCAAAACUUCUGGCCUGCUUCGUGCUGCUGAAAUUGCAACUUCUUUGAGUGAUUCAGGACAAAAGUGGUUUGGGCAUCUUCUAGGUGUUAAUCUCCAAAGCAUUGAGUGAUCCAUCAGGGAACAAAGAUGACAAGGGGAGCUAUCUCCAUGAAGUGAUGCACAAUAGGAAGAUUUUUUGCAAGUUGUUGCAGGGCCACGUCUUCUUGCUCUUGUUGGAUCGCCCUCCUUGUUGCUUGUCAUCUAUGCAUUGUUCAAUUUUCUGGUUUAGGAUUUGGUGCCAGUGUUGAUUAGGCCGGUACUAAAUGUUGUAGUUUAAUAUUUUGUAUGUAUGUGCUGACUAUGAGGAUAAUAUGAUAUUUUAUAUAUUUUUUAAAUUUCCCUU